rnacentral:rRNA from 1 species
AGCCUACGGGACGCAGCAGUGGGGGAUAUUGCACAAUGGGGGAAACCCUGAUGCAGCGACGCCGCGUGUGGGAAGACGGUCCUCUGGAUUGUAAACCACUGUCCCCAGGGACGAAGAUGACGGUACCUGGGGAGGAAGCUCCGGCUAACUACGUGCCAGCAGCCGCGGUAAUACGUAGGGAGCGAGCGUUGUCCGGAAUUACUGGGGGUAAAGGGAGCGUAGGCGGGGAUGCAAGUUGGGUGUCAUAAGUCCCGGCUCAACUGGGAGUAGCACU